AAGCGUUGUUCGGAUUUAUUGGGCGUAAAGCGCGUGUAGGCGGCUCCUUAAGUCUGAUGUGAAAGCCCUGGGCUCAACCCGGGAAGUGCAUUGGAAACUGGGGAACUUGAAUACGGGAGAGGGUAGUGGAAUUCCUGGUGUAGGAGUGAAAUCCGUAGAUAUCAGGAGGAACACCGGUGGCGAAGGCGGCUACCUGGACCGAUAUUGACGCUGAGACGCGAAAGCGUGGGUAGCAAACAGGAUUAGAUACCCUGGUAGUCCACGCCGUAAACGAUGAGUACUAGGUGUUGCGGGUAUUGACCCCUGCAGUGCC
rnacentral:rRNA from 1 species